CCUUUGAGUUUCCAUUCCACUACCCCAAGGUCCCUGCUUAGUCAUAAAGAACAAGGCAAUACUUAAUAUCAAAAUGUAUGUUAAUAUAUGUUUACAUAAAUUCUGACAAAGUUUGACGGCAACCUAAAUUCUGGAAUUUCUUAAUAGCUAAAUGUUUAACUUUUAGAUUCAUAGUAUAUUUUAAUGUGAUUUUUAUGUAUUUUUAACUUAAGGUCUUAACAUCUGAAGUACUCUAAUACUGCUGUGAACGGUGGUGGUACUAGAUUUUUAUUCAUACAUUGUAAAAGAAAAUGUCUAAAUAUUAACUCUUUUUCUUUUCCAUAUCAGACUGUGAAGAACAACCCUCACUUGCUCCCAGGUAUCAGCAUGCUAACUGAUGGUCCUGUGUGAAAGUCACAAUCUCCUGGGAAGUCUGAAGUUACUUGGACCAUGGAUGCUGAAGUUGCCAAGUCCAUGAGCAGAAUAAAUGCAAACUGUGAUGCUUGGAAGUAAAUUGGGAGUACAGGUGGGACUCUCUUCCCUCAGCUUUAGGGAUCUCAGCUGCAUUCACAGGUGAAUCACAUUGGAAAAAGUAAUGUGUUUAAAGGGAAUUGGCUUAAGGAGGAACAAACAUGGAAAUUUCAUCUUAGACAAUAUUGCUCUUUGGAGAUUCCAAUAGCUGCAGCCCUCUAAAAGAAGAACCUGUGACUUGCAUUGGCCCUUUGUAAGAACAGGGGAGUAAAGGUUAUCUUCUCUGCAGCCAGGAGACUUGAAUGGAUGACCAAAGAGCUUCUAGAGAAACUCAAGUGGAAGAGGGAGGUUCCCGGUAUAUGGAAAAAGGGACUGGCCACUUGGGAGGAAUAUGGGAAUGUUGUCAGGGUAUUCAGAGAUUAAACGAGGAAGACCAAGGCCUACUUGGAACCAAAUCUGGCAAGGGGUGUCAAGAAUAACAAGGGCUUCUUCAAAUACAUCAGCAGUAAAAGGAAGACUGGGGACACAGUGGGCCUGCUGCUGAACGAGGUCUGGGCCCUGGUGACCAAGGAUGCAGAGAAGGCAGAGUUACUGAAUGCCCUCUUUGCUUUAGUUUUCACUGCUAAGGCUGGCCCUUGGUCAUCCCAGCCCCCAGAAGAGAGAAAAAAUAUCUGGAGAAAGGAGGACUUCCCCUUGGUUGAAGAGGAUUGGGUUAGAGAUCACCUAGGCAAACUGGAUCCUCACAAAUCCAUGCGCCCCAAUGGGAUGCACCCACAAGUGCUGAAGGAGCUGGCAGAUGUUCUUGCCAAGCCACUCUCCAUCAUCUUUGAAAGGUGUAGUUUCCAACAUGGUAAACAAUAAGUUGAUGGCCAGUAUUUCACUAACAACUGCAAACAUUUGUAUCUACAGUGUCCCCUUGUAGGAAUUUGGAUUGCUUGGUAAAUUAAGGUAAUAUUAAGAUAAUAAUCUUUGUUUAUUUUACUACAAAUUAAUUUACUCUUAAAGCUGCUUAACAUUUUUGCAGUUGUUUCAAACUUAAUUAUAGAAAUCAAAGAGUGUUAAUAUGAGUUAUUACUUGCACAGUAAACUGUAAUAAACCAACCAAUU